GGCCCCAUGGCUUAGUUGGUUAAAGCGCCUGUCUUGUAAACAGGAGAUCCUGGGUUCGAAUCCCAGUGGGGCCU
rnacentral:tRNA from 1 species